rnacentral:rRNA from 1 species
GAUGAACGCUGGCGGCGUGCCUAAUACAUGCAAGUCGAGCGAACAGAUGAGAAGCUUGCUUCUCUGAUGUUAGCGGCGGACGGGUGAGUAACACGUGGGUAACCUACCUAUAAGACUGGGAUAACUCCGGGAAACCGGGGCUAAUACCGGAUAAUAUUUUGAACCGCAUGGUUCGAUAGUGAAAGACGGUUUCGGCUGUCACUUAUAGAUGGACACGCGCCGUAUUAGCUAGUUGGUAAGGUAACGGCUUACCAAGGCGACGAUACGUAGACGACCUGAGAGGGUGAUCGGCCACACUGGAACUGAGACACGGUCCAGACUCCUACGGGAGGCAGCAGUAGGGAAUCUUCCGCAAUGGGCGAAAGCCUGACGGAGCAACGCCGCGUGAGUGAUGAAGGUCUUCGGAUCGUAAAACUCUGUUGUUAGGGAAGAACAAAUUUGUUAGUAACUGAACAAGUCUUGACGGUACCUAACCAGAAAGCCACGGCUAACUACGUGCCAGCAGCCGCCGUAA